GACCGCGUAGCUCAGUUGGCAGAGCAUUGGGCUAGCAUUCCAAAGGUCGUAGGUUCACUUCCCACCGUGGCCA
rnacentral:tRNA from 1 species